ensembl:lncRNA
UGGGAAAAUCAGCUCCAGAUGUACUGGAAGAUGGGCCAACUUCCAUCGCAGGAAGAUAAAGAGCUGCUCCCUGGGACUUCUUUGGCAAAGUGUAUUGGAAUGGUAUUCUGGCAAGGAUACAAGAUAUACUGGAAUGCUCAUUUACUCUGGAUGUAUCUGGGGAUGAGCAGUAUCCAUCUCCCAAAGGAGCCUUUACUUAUGAGUAUAAAGAGAUAUUUGGCAAAAGUUCUCCAUUUACCAUAAAGGCUCUGGAUCUAACAGCAAGAUAGGCAGAAUGAAGACAGAGAGACAGGGACUGUUUUUUUUUGCCCCAGGCAGGUCUUCAAAAGAAGAAUCAAGUUCAACUAGAAGACAUCUAUGCUACAAAUCACGAGGUGGAUAUUAAAAAAUAUAUCCUCAAAUAACAGAAGCUUAACCUUAUGGUUAUUCUACAGAUGAAAAGAAAGUUCACUCCAAAGCCCUG